GUCGUACCGGUUUGGUCGCCAAAAUAUGCACUCGGUUUGGUUUGUGAGUCAGUUUUCGGGGAUUUGUGCUUUCCAGUGCCGCUCUCUCUGCACAAAUCUAUCUCGAUGGAUCCAGUUCUCCGAUUCUCUUUCUCGAUCGCCGGACUCUGCUUCGGGUUGAUCACAAAGGCUCACCCUUUCGCCUGUAGAACUGUGACACCUUGGUGACUGGUAGCCAGACAUUUGACAAAAAUGGCCUUCCUACCGUUCAGGACUCCCACACGAGCUUGAGCUCUCGCCUCAGUCCAUCGCGUACCUGCACGGUCACCCUCUGCAGUAUUUCGGACUCACUUGCGACUUGGUGCCGCACCUCCUCUGGGGCUCAAAGUUUAUGCAAGGAACUAAUGUUAAUGACUGAUUUCAACAUAAAAAAAAAACUGCUCUUUUCUUUCUCUUCGAGUUAAAUGGAUGUGUGUUAUUAUAUAAAAUAAUAAUAUCAGAUAUAGUUGGUAGAUUAUUAUGGGUAUUUUAGUAUCAGACCUAUUUCGUAUAUAAAUUUUGAACCAUCCAUGCUUAUAUGUUAAAAAAAUAAAAAGUUAUGGCCUUUACAAUUAAUUUGUUACAUGUAAUUUAUAGGAUAUAAGUCGACCGAUCUCUCCCGUUUCGACUUCCGUUUCAACACAUUUCCGCUUUUUACACAGGCAGUAACCGAACAUUGCCGAUUUAUUUACAUAACAGAACAGCAACAUUCGGACGGCUUUUCACUCUGUGCAAAGCACACCAAUACAUACUUAUUAUAGAUCAUUAACGCUUGACCGGUAGUCAAACAAAUUAUGGAUGAUGAGUCCAGUAAUGGGAAAUUUGCCAUCUGACCGCUUAAAUGGAGUCCAUUCGCAACGAAGUAUCGAAACCACUGCAAGUCACCAUAUACAACUUAUGCAUCAAUCUUUGUCUGCCUUGGUUCAACAGCAAUUCAUUUAGAACUCGUAGCC